UUUUCAGGUUAUUGGUGUGACCUUAAACACGAAGGCCUCCACCUCUCUCUCCUCCACUGCAGGUCACUGUCAGUUUGAGAACCUGUGAAAGACGUUAACUAGCUUACGGUUUUGAGACUCCGACGCCUGUUAACCCAGAGGAGCAACAACAGCAAUAAGUGAAGAAAGCGCUUUUCAAGUACAACAAAGCGGAUAUAAGUCCUGAAAAACUUCAGCAGCUAGGCUUCUUAGUGGACGUGGCUGUCAUGAAGAAAAAUGAGUUUUCAAGCAGAAAGAUGCUACGGACAUCUGCACUUCGUGAAAGCAGCCUUUCAUAUCUGGAUGCACCACAAGGGAGCAGCAGUGUUAAAGGAGAGAAGUCACCAGUGUUGCAUUAAGUUCCCUCAGAAGAUCCUGCUUGUUUGCUUCAGAUUGUGAAUGUGAGGAGACACCAGCUCAAGAAUGAGAAGCACCUUUAUUCUGCGGUUUCCAGGAAAAGUGUUGGGGUUCUCAAGGGGACAGACAUUCCAGAGCUGCUGGUGGUGUGUGCGGCUAGAGCCAUGAUUCAGAACUGUCAGACGAAGAGGAUGCAUCAAUCUAACUCAACACCAUCAGCUCAUCUGCCUUCCAG